UAGGGAAUCUUCCACAAUGGACGCAAGUCUGAUGGAGCAACGCCGCGUGAGUGAAGAAGGUUUUCGGACCGUAAAGCUCUGUUGUUGGUGAAGAAGGAUAGAGGUAGUAACUGGCCUUUAUUUGACGGUAAUCAACCAGAAAGUCACGGCUAACUACGUGCCAGCAGCCGCGGUAAUACGUAGGUGGCAAGCGUUGUCCGGAUUUAUUGGGCGUAAAGCGAGCGCAGGCGGAAGAAUAAGUCUGAUGUGAAAGCCCUCGGCUUAACCGAGGAAUUGCAUCGGAAACUGUUUUCGUUGAGUGCAGAAGAGGAGAGUAGAACUCCAUGUGUAGCGGUGGAAUGCGUAGAUAUAUGGCAAGAAUACCAGUGGCGAAGGCGGCUCUCUGGUCUGCAACUGACGCUGAGGCUCGAA
rnacentral:rRNA from 1 species